CAUGGCGCUGCUCAGCCUGCCUUGCAGAGGGAGCUCGAGUCCCGCUCUGCGCCUCGCAGCGCCUCUCACUCCGCCGCACACGCCAGCGCAGCGAGGCGGCGGCCGGCGGGAGCGGGACACGCAGCCGUCCCCACGGGCAGCGCCCGGCCGGACACCGCGGCAGGACACGGGCGGAGGGCGUCGGGAGAGCCCCACGGAGGAACAGUCAUUUUGUCCUGGCCUGCAGCUCCCUGCCUACCCUGACAGAAGUCUGCUCUGAUCUCUACAGUCAAGGUGUAGCUUAUCUUGGAAAGUGGAAUUGUGCUGCAGGGAGGGGACGAGGUUUUGGCAGGGCAAGGAGAACACCCAGGUAGGUGAGUGAAUUAAAUUCAUGGCUUUGGCCACUGGGACACUGGGCUGGUUUGUUAUUGAAAGGGGAAAAGAAACCAAAUAUGUGGGAGGGCUGGGCCACUUUCCACCUCUCAGGUGCUCUUGUCUGCAGUUGCAUGUGCCAGCUGGGAUCUACAUCCCUCAUCUCUUGCUGCCUAAAGCUGACAGUGUGAUGCAGUGCUUUGGGAAAACCACUGUGCUUUCCUCCUGGAGCUCAUCCAGCCCCCAAAGCAGGUGGAAGAAGGCUAAGGGAUGAGUGAUGCAGCAGUGUCCCCUGGUUACCCGUCCCCGCAAUCCCAUCUGCAGAUAAAACUGCAUCCAGAAGUGGUUUAUGCUGAGGGGGGUGUCCCAGAUGGGACCACAUGCACCACAACGUGCUACAUUCUGCCUGAGCCAGCCCCCAAAAGUUCUGCUGCAGUGAGGAAGAAGGAAGUGAAGGCUGUAACCUCCUGAGACGUGAUUAGAAACCCUGAGAAGCACCAAUGGAUGGGCCUUGCUUGGCCUGGGAGCUAUAAAUGCCCAGCUCUGCUGGUGAUGGCAGUGCUCCUGCUCUGGCACAGGUGGCUGGCAGGACUGGGGGAUUUCCCUGCCUCUGCUACCUUUGGGGGCAUCUUUGCUGCUCUAAACUACUCCACUCCCAGGACCAUACCGGCCACUAAGAUGAUUAAGGGAUUGGAGCAGCUGUCAU